rnacentral:rRNA from 1 species
GGUUGAUCCUGCCAGUAGUCAUAUGCUUGUCUCAAAGAUUAAGCCAUGCAUGUCUAAGUAUAAGCGAGAUUAUACAGCGAGACUGCGGAUGGCUCAUUAAAUCAGUUAUAGUUUAUUUGAUGGUUCCUACCUACUACUCGGAUAACCGUAGUAAUCCUAGAGCUAAUACGUGCAUGCGACCCCGACUAGGGGGGUGUCUUUGGGGCAACUUAAGGGCAUCCACUUACCCUUGGAAGGGGCGUAUUUAUUAGAUAAAAAACCGGCGCGGGGCAUUAACAAACCACGAA